UAAGGAGGGCGUGAGGCCGAGGAGGCUGGACAAGCUUUCGAAGACGUAUGGUUUCCCGGUGGGACUGGCGGCGCUCCUGGACGAGGUGGGCAUCGACGUCGCUCAGCACGUUGCCGAGGACCUGGGCAAGGCGUUCCCCGACCGCCUGGUGGGAUCGGACCCUAACCUUCUGAAGGACAUGGUCGCCGCUGGAUUCCUGGGUAGGAAGUCGGGCAAGGGUAACUACCUUUACAAAAAAGGGUUCUAAGCAGCGAGCCAUCAACCCCGGAGCUGAGGAAAUUUUCAAGAAGUAUUACAUUGAGCCGACGGGCAGGUAAUAGAACCGGUGCAAUCAGCCCAUCUGGACAUAUGCCGAUUUUCGGAAGAACCAGAGGGCAGACAAAACAGCUGAAGGAUUU